UACGUAGGGUCCGAGCGUUGUCCGGAAUUACUGGGCGUAAAGAGCUCGUAGGUGGUUUGUCGCGUUGUUCGUGAAAACUCACAGCUCAACUGUGGGCGUGCGGGCGAUACGGGCAGACUGGAGUACUGCAGGGGAGACUGGAAUUCCUGGUGUAGCGGUGGAAUGCGCAGAUAUCAGGAGGAACACCGGUGGCGAAGGCGGGUCUCUGGGCAGUAACUGACGCUGAGGCGCGAAAGCGUGGGGAGCAAACAGG
rnacentral:rRNA from 1 species